rnacentral:rRNA from 1 species
GUCUAUGGCCAUGCCACGCCGAACACGCCUGAUGCCAUCUGAUCUCAGAAGCUAAGCAAAGUCGGGCCUGGUUAGUACUUGGAUGGGAGACCACCUAGGAAGACCAGUUG